rnacentral:rRNA from 1 species
UACAGAGGUCCCAAGCGUUGUUCGGAUUCACUGGGCGUAAAGGGUGCGUAGGUGGUGAGGUAAGUCUGAUGUGAAAUCUAUGGGCUCAACUCAUAGUCUGCAUCGGAAACUGCCGGGCUUGAGUGUGGGAGAGGUGAGUGGAAUUCCUGGUGUAGCGGUGAAAUGCGUAGAGAUCGGAAAGAACACCAACGGCGAAAGCACUCUGCUGGGCCGACACUGACACUGAGAGACGAAAGCUAGGGGAGCGAAUGGG